rnacentral:rRNA from 1 species
AUGCUUAUUGAAACCUGGUCAAUAAAUUAUGAAGGUGGUUGUGUUUUCAGGUUGAAGAUUGGAGCUGCUGCACCGAGUAGGCCGCCUUGUCCAAGCCGCAUAAGUGCGUUCGAGAAGGCUGUGCGGAGUUUUGCGGAUAACCCAACCGAUAAUGUUAUCACGCCAGUUAUUGGCAUGACAUUCGACUCCGUGGGUGAAGCCUACGGCUUCUACAGUUUGUACUCCUGGGAGAAGGGUUUUGGCAUUCGUUAUGGGAAAAGCAGGCGGAAUGUAGAGAGGACCAAAUGCAUGCAGGAAAUAGUUUGUGGCUGCUAGGGCAAGGCUGUUGUCGAGAACACAAGGUCUUGUCGUUGCGAGUGCCCUGCUCUAAUAAGGCUGCUACGAGCGGAGGACAACGCAUGGUACAUUCGAGAGCAUAGAGAGACACACAACCACUUGUUGUCACCUAAUUUUGGUGAUACCAUCCACUGGCCCUCACACAAGCACAUAAUGUACACUAGAGAUCUUGUGAAGUAGUUAAGGCAAAACAAUGUGAACUUGGCAAAGGUGUAUAGUAUCAUUGGAGGUUUCUUUGGAUCAAUGGAAAAUGUUCUGUUCAAGAAGAGGUCAUUGCAUAAUUUGUGUGGGAAGAUAAACAGGGACCACACAGAAGACGGUGUAAAGAAGACAAUGGAUGUGUUUGUGGAGAUUGGAGCUAAAGAUCCGCACUUUACAUACAGGGUUCAGUCUGAUGAUGAGGGCAGGAUUAGGAAUCUGAUGUGGGCAAGUGGAAGCGGCAGGCUGCAGUACUCAUUUUUUGGGGAUGUCAUAACAUUUGACAUGACUUACCGGACUAAUCUGUACGACAUGCCUUUUGGGCUGUUCGUAGGGGUGAACAAUCACUUUUGAAGUGUGAUCCUAGCAGGUGUGCUCGUGCGUGAUGAAACUGAAGAUAGUUUUGUGUGGGUUUUCUCGGAAUUCCUUAGAAUGAUGGGCGGUUCUCCACCUGUGACCAUACUGACAGGUAGUUUUUUUUCAUUUGAGGUGAUAAAAUGUCACAUAUCGAUACAUAAUUACAAGUGUUUUGUCUGGUGA